rnacentral:rRNA from 1 species
GACGAACGCUGGCGGCGUGCCUAAUACAUGCAAGUAGGACGCAGUUGCGAACGGGUUAGUAACGCGUAGGUAACUACCUAUUAGAGGGGGAUAACUAUUGGAAACGAUAGCUAAUACCGCAUCACAGUAGAUGGACCUGCGUUGUAUUAGGUAGUAGGUCGGGUAAUGGCCUACCUAGGCAACGAUACAUAGCCGAGCUGGGAGGGGGAACGGGCACACUGGGACUGAGACACGGGCCAGAAUCCUACGGGAGGCAGCAGUAGGGAAACUUCGGCAAUGGGGGGAACCCUUACCGAGCAACGCCGCGUGAGGGAAGGAGGGUUUCGGAUCGUAAAGCUCUGUUGUGAAGGAAGCGGUACUUGACCAGAAAGGGACGGCUAACUACGUGCCAGCAGCCGCGGUAAUUC